AAUGAAUUGCCUGAUAAAAGGGCUACCUUGAUAGGGUAAAUCAUGUAAUUUUUUACAUUCAUU
rnacentral:tRNA from 1 species